AUUGAACGCUGGCGGCAUGCUUUACACAUGCAAGUCGAACGGCAGCACGGACUUCGGUCUGGUGGCGAGUGGCGAACGGGUGAGUAAUACAUCGGAACGUGCCCAGUUGUGGGGGAUAACUACUCGAAAGAGUGGCUAAUACCGCAUGAGAACUGAGGUUGAAAGCAGGGGACCGCAAGGCCUUGCGCAACUGGAGCGGCCGAUGGCAGAUUAGGUAGUUGGUGGGGUAAAGGCUUACCAAGCCUGCGAUCUGUAGCUGGUCUGAGAGGACGACCAGCCACACUGGGACUGAGACACGGCCCAGACUCCUACGGGAGGCAGCAGUGGGGAAUUUUGGACAAUGGGCGAAAGCCUGAUCCAGCAAUGCCGCGUGCAGGAUGAAGGCCCUCGGGUUGUAAACUGCUUUUGUACGGAAUGAAAAGCCUACUUCUAAUAAAGGUGGGUCAUGACGGUACCGUAAGAAUAAGCACCGGCUAACUACGUGCCAGCAGCCGCGGUAAUACGUAGGGUGCAAGCGUUAAUCGGAAUUACUGGGCGUAAAGCGUGCGCAGGCGGUUUUGUAAGACAGUGGUGAAAUCCCCGGGCUCAACCUGGGAACUGCCAUUGUGACUGCAAGGCUGGAGUGCGGCAGAGGGGGAUGGAAUUCCGCGUGUAGCAGUGAAAUGCGUAGAUAUGCGGAGGAACACCGAUGGCGAAGGCAAUCCCCUGGGCUGCAUGACGCUCAUGCA
rnacentral:rRNA from 1 species